AUAAUUUUUUUGACAAGAAAAUUUUGGUAGGGUGGGCCAAGUUUGACUUUCUUUGUGAUGUCAUUUGCUUGGCUAGCAGUAUUCUCCAGCCCACCACCCCUACAAGAGUGUGAGUCCCUUGAGGACAAGACUAACAGCAGAAACACUUUCUACACUUUCAGAGGCCUUUAUAAAGUGGUAAGAAGCUUUGACUGCUAAAUACAGCAUGAAGAAAUAGGAAGCUGCACAAGAACUGGAGACAGACUGCCUGGGUUCCAGUCCCGGCUCCACCAGGACAAAACUGCACAACCUUGGGUUUGGAAGGUGGGAGCAAAAGGGAGCUUUUCAAGCAUCAGGAGUAGCCAUGGACCUUGAAUGCCAACCUGGGGACUCCUCCUCCCCUGUUUUCCCAACAUCAGCACAUAGUAGAACUUUUUGGAAUGAAAGAAGAGUUACAUGGCAAUGAAAUGAGGAAUGCUGGAUAACUAUAACCUACCCUCAGCUGUACAUUGCCAAGGAGUGAGUGAGUAUGUCUGUGCACGUGCAGCAGGUAGGCAUGGAGAAGAGUAGGUGAUGGCAGGAGGAAGAGUACAGAAGGAGCAACAUGAGUAAAGGUGUCCAUAUCCUUUCAGAUCGUUUCGGAUAGCCACUGAAGAAGAGAGGCCAUUUGGAGUUGAGAUUUUUCUGCCUGCUCUCAGCACACCUCCUAUGGGAGUGAUGUGAUGCAAUGCCUUGGACAAAGGAGCAUAUAGAGAAGGAUUCAUGAGAUCAUGGCUACCAAAUGGCCACGGUCACUGUGGGGCCUCUGGUGGGGAUCGACCACCCCCUUCCACGUCCUUGCUGAGGGAGGCGGCUUUACGGACCCUGCAUCAGUGGCCUCUCCCUGCCCAGGCCCUGGACAUCGCCCGUCAUCCUUGAGGACUCCUACGGUCAGAUCCCGCAAUCUCCACUCAGCCUCCUCUGUUCCGGCCAAGGCUUCACAGGGGCCUCUCCUACUGCCUUCCAUAGAAUCCUCUGCACAUGUCUGCGCGAGCCCUAAGCCCUAGUAUGGGAAUCGUGUUGACCUGACAUAGUCUGCCUCCAUCAGAAAACUCUCAGAAGUGACCACGUGAACAAUUUGCCCACCAUCCAGUGAGAACAGCAAGCUUCGGUGAACCCAGCGCUUCCACACCUCCAGCAGUGUGAGCCCGCACACAUUCCAUCUCCUGGGAACCUCUGUGGCUAUCAGCGAUGUCUUUGCUUUAGGACACACACCCACAAACCACAACGCAACCACUCUGUGAAUCAUGUAACACACAGAUGGACUUAAACAGCAGAAUGAACAGGCGGUGCUCAGCUUACACACCCUGGCAGCCCCGCCUCUGUGCUGGAAUCUGAUUGUGGCACCCUGUCGCUUUUUGCAUUGUUAAUGGUUUUCUUUGUUCCCACAUCUCUUACCCCACUUUCUUGCCAACAAUUUGCCUUUUGUUUGAAAGCCUUUCAUUUGAGUUCUUAAGUGAAGGAUUUUUGAAUGCUAGUUUCUUGGCAAAUAUGCUCAUUUUGCAAAAUUCUUACUUAUCAAGUCCAAUAAACUUUUAGCCAAGAAUCACAAAUCCACAGUGUUCUUGAGCCCUGACUUCUGGUUCCACCAUCAGAGCUUUGCUUUCCUCAUGCGCCAUCCCUUCCCUUCCUCACUGCUCCCCACGCAGGAGGCUGCCUCCCACACCUGCUCUGUUCCUGCUUCUGGCAAUCUUAAAUUAUGAAUUUUCUUACAUGUGAGAACAUU